rnacentral:rRNA from 1 species
CCUACUGGAGGCUGCAGUGGGGAAUAUUGCACAAUGGGCGCAAGCCUGACCCAGCAACGCCGCGUGAAGGAAGAAGGCUUUCGGGUUGUAAACUUCUGUUCUUAGUGAAGAAUAAUGACGGUAGCUAAGGAGCAAGCCACGGCUAACUACGUGCCAGCAGCCGCGGUAAUACGUAGGUGGCAAGCGUUGUCCGGAAUUACUGGGUGUAAAGGGAGCGCAGGCGGGAAGCCAAGUCAGCUGUGAAAACUACGGGCUUAACUUGUAGACUGCAGUUGAAACUGGUUUUCUUGAGUGAAGUAGAGGUUGGCGGAAUUCCGAGUGUAGCGGUGAAAUGCGUAGAUAUUCGGAGGAACACCGGUGGCGAAGGCGGCCAACUAGGCUUUAACUGACGCUGAGGCUCGAAAGUGUGGGGAGCAAACAGGAUUAGAUACCCGUGUAGUC